AGGUUCUCACUGUGAUCUGCAGAGUAUAAAGCCUACAUCUGAGAUCAUCGUGAAAGCCAGU
rnacentral:pre_miRNA from 1 species